AGUAACUUCACCCUUGCUUUUCCCCUUAUCUACACAACCGCCACAGUUCCAUUCAUUCCAUUCGCGUUCAGUUCAAAAUUAAUAACGCCGUUGUUUUGUUUGUUGCAGAGGACGAUGGCGAGACGAAGCAUCUAGAAGCGUUAGUAGAGGGGGCAGAGUCGCGCCUCCGUCUCUUCCAGAUCGACCUCCUCGACUACAACUCCAUACUCGCCGCCGUCAAUGGUUGCUCCGGGGUCUUCCACCUCGCUUCUCCCUGCAUCAUCGAUACAGUCCACGACCCCGAGGUUCCCGCCAUAAAACAGUAUCAAAUUCCUUCUAAUUUUGAUUAUAUCUGAUUAAUUAUGCGAAAUUAUGCGUAAAUUUGAAAACGUGGUGCUUUUUUUUGUUUAUUCUGCAGAAGGAGCUCCUGGACCCGGCGAUCAAAGGAACGCUUAAUGUUCUGACGGCAGCGAAGAAGGCUGGGAUCAGCCGUGUGGUGCUGACGUCAUCCUCAUGCGCCAUCACUCCCAGCCCAAGCUGGCCGUCCGAUAAGGUCAAGGGCGAGGAUUGCUGGACAGACAUUGACUACUGCAAGCAGAAGGGAGUGAGUUACUCCAACGCCCUGUUUAAUGUCCGCAUUCAAUUUUCUUAUUGAAAGUAUGUUACUUUCGGUGCACGUUUCCCCUGCUUUUACUGUAUCUUUCAUCUUUUGAUUAUUAAUUCUUCAUUUUUAACUACUUGAAGUUUUCACAAUUGGGGACUGUAAUGCUGAUUGUGUUUGGUGUUUGGCUAGUUGUGGUAUCCAUUAUCGAAAACGCUGGCGGAGAAAGCUGCGUGGGAAUUUGCCAAGGAGAAGGGGCUGGAUGUCGUUGUGGUGAAUCCGGGCGCGGUGAUGGGCCCUGUUAUCUCGCCCAGGCUCAAUUCUAGCAUGUUAUUGCUCCUUCGCAUUCUUGAGGGUACUUUUCUCUGCAAAUUUGUAUUAGAAAAUCCUCUACGACUGCACCUAGAAGUAGAUUAUUGACUUUAUUUAUCCUCUAGCACUGCACUCUUAAAUUGUUUGAAUAAUCCACUAGCGGUUAUUGUUCUCUUGCCUGAUAGUAUGCCAUGUAAUGUUGCGAAAUUUGCACUUGAAUCAUAAAUUUAGACGAAAGUUGAUCUUUGAUUGACAGUUUGUACGAUGACAUAUCAUCUCAAUGGCAAGAGAACAUUUCCCAUUUAUUAUGUAUGAUGCUGUGGUUGGUUGAUGAACUAAAAAUGAGGUAAAAAUGAGGUAUUUUCUUUCUCUUAAGACAUUUUUGUUGUGCGGAAGCGGCAUUCGACUGUAAGUGAAUAGUAAAACAGAACAGAAACAAAAACCAACAUCAACAAGAACACCAAGAUUUAUACUGGUUCGGCAAUGCCUACAUCCAGUUUGGAGACGACGGAGUAUUCCACUAUAAUCAAUGAGAACAUACAAUAGUGUUUAUCACUCAAUUUCCCAAAGACCCAAAUAACCCAAGCUCUCACACUUACAAUAGGAAGAGAAAACCAAAAAAUACAAAGCAAGACAAUUUGAGAAAAUUUUUCUCUAUGCCGAAUGGCUUCUUGCUAUUUUUCUCUCUUCCUUGUUCUCCUCUUGUCUCUACUCCAUACUUAUGAGCUGCACCUUGCUCUCCUUUUAUAGCCAAAGAAAAGCUUCUCAAAGACAUCAAUGGCCAAAGGCCUACCAUCAAGUCAAAAGAGUUAGGCACAAAUUAGGCACAAAUUAGGCACAAAUGUUGUUUGCCUCCCAUUACCACAAAGUAGCCCAAAGAUUUGGACUUUGACUACAUGUUUGAGUCAAUAAUCAACAAUUUUUGCUAAGGAAAGAUUGAGUUUGGUACCUCAGCACUUGGAAGAUUUCUUCUUUCAUAACAGUCGAGAUUGCUAAUUGUUUUGCCGGUUAGUCCGUAAGCUUGAGAAGUUAGAUUGUGUGAGCAUGCGUAUGUGUAAUCAUAAAGGAACUCCUCUUCACCUCUUUUUUUAGCACAUGUUUCUUUAAGUUCUAAGGAUUUUCGAUAAAGUUUGUUUUGGAGAGGAAUGAGAAAAAGGAUGAGGCCCUAGAAAGUGGAAACAACAUAUAUAUAGUUUUGAGUUGCUCGAUCUUUGCUGCAGGUUGCACUGAAACAUAUGAGGACUUUUUUAUGGGAUCUGUGCAUUUUAAAGAUGUAGCUCUCGCACACAUUUUAGUGUAUGAGAACAAAUCAGCGACCGGUAGGCACUUGUGUGUGGAAGCUAUAUCACGUUAUGGUGACUUUGUGGCAAAGGUUGCUGAACUUUACCCUGAGUACAAGGUUCACAGGUAAGUUUUGGUCCACAAAAUGCAUUUGCAAAUGAAAUUGGGUGCAUAUCUUAUGUUUUAGAUGUUUGGUUUCCUGAUAAGUGAAUGUUUCGUCCCUUGUCAGAAGCACAACUUAAAAAUAUACUAUGUCUUGAUUUUUUAAACCGAGGUUUCUUAGAUGCACUGAACUCUUCUACAGCUAGAGGACCAUGGUUUUUUCUUUCUUUUUUUCCGUCCAUCAUGUGUUAUAGAUAUUUGAGACCAAAUUAGCGAAUUGAAAUCUGAUUUUGCCUAUAAAAGAGUUUUCAUGCGGGUAUAGAUUUGCAUACAUCAUCUUUCUUUGGUCUGUUUAGAAUCACUUCCAAAUGUUGCUUUCCAAGUUUAUCAACCGUUUGGUGCGUUCUCGCUUGCCUUGGAAGAAUUUUGUAAAUUUUUAGGUGGUGUGAGUGCCUGAUUUUGAAAAUGUUCGAGCUAGUAUGUUUACGUUUGUGUAGUUUGCCAAAGGAUACCCAACCCGGCUUGCUGAGGGAAAAGAGCGGAGCGAAGAAGCUAAUGAACUUGGGUUUAGAAUUCAUUCCCAUGGAUCAAAUUAUCAAGGAUGGUGUUGAGAGCCUAAAGAGCAAGGGAUUUAUUUCAUAAAUAAAACUGCAGGGAUAUGAAACUUAUCAUGGAUCUAGGUAUGUAUUGUACUAGUAGCGAGGACAUGUAGCCUGAAUGGUUGUUUCAACUCCUUUGAAUUUUCCUUUUUCUGUGAAGUAAAUAAUAUUAAUAUGAGUGUACGAUAAGUUUACCUUAAAUUUCAGACUUUAAUCGGGGAAUAUCAGUGCAUUGUUGGACUGGAACGCUAUGUGGUGGCUAACCAGUUCCACAUAAGUCCUCCCAGUCUACGUCAAAUUCUUUGUGUAAUAAGAGAAUUUCUCUUAAUUUUCACCGUACCGAAAGUUAAAAGGACUAAUAGCAAGUAAUUACGAACAUGGCUAGUACUGUGGAAGCUAAAGCAGCAGCAACAGCUCCUCCAUCUUCGGUGUUUGAUAUAAUGCGCCACCUUGGCGGGGGACAUUAGCAAAGUGGAUUCCAAUGUUCUCGAGAAAAUCCUACCAGAUUAAAUGUACGGACGAGCAGUUGAGGUGCGCACGGAAGAGUACCAUAGGCAGAGAUUUGAGUCCAGUUACUGAUAUGUUGUGGCGGAAUUUGUACGUGGAGUUCGGUGCUUCAAGGGCUGUUCAGGUGGUCGAAAACACCAAGAAGUUAUACCAUGCCUACAGUCUUGUGGAUAACGAGUUCAAAACUAAUUUAUUCCUUCAAUACUUAGUGCAAAUAUAUUGUUCUAUAAAAAAUAAAAAUAAAAAAUUAUACCAUUUAACACAACAUUAACCUGAUUUACAACGUCGGUACUCUCCCUAGCCUUGACCGGGCAAAGAGGGCAGUCGUUAAUUAAGUCUCACUGAAAGAAUGUGUAAACCGUACAAGUUACUGGCCUUGAAUAUGGUGAAACUUUAAACUUUGUUGGCGUUUAUAUCUCGUCAUGGUCCUGCUAUCUGCUCAACUGGUUUUCAUGCACGUAAGAUUAUAUUCUUACGUAACUAUAAACUUUUUUGGCGUUAAUUAACUUCUUGUGUUGUUGUAGCUGGUCUGCAAGUAGCCUGUGUUGGUUGUGCCGGAUUAGUUGCAUUUCCGGUGCUGAUAGAGAAGCUUUUGGAUAGACAUGGUUGAAUUUUAGCGCUUUGGCUAUGUUCUCCCAGUUUUGUAUGCUUAAAUUAGACAAUUUAGUACAUACAAAUCCAAUGAUCUUGUAUUAUCUUUUUUGUUCACUACAGUUCAGAUUUUUGUAAUUUGAAUGCGGACAACUGCAGAGCUUUUAACUCCACUCGAGAAAGACAUUCAGGUUCUGAGAAGAAGGUUUACGUUCUAAAACCAAAGAAAUAAGAGAUCAUGACCGUCGGCGAAACCAAAACCCCACCCUUUUCAACCGAUUCAAACAUUUCAAUCUCCCCGACUCUCUAGUCAACCGAGUAUUUUAUGGCCUGCCGUUGGUUCGGGUGCCGAUACAAGCCUUGUUGAAUUGUGGCCAAGUGGCCAUCACCUUUCCUAAUAAACAAACCAAAAGAAAAAAAAAAGGAGAAAGGACAACAAGAUUAUGUUUCCUUGUUUUGGGGAAAAGAAAAGUGAAAUUUGUCUAAAGUUUUUUCUUUGGUCCAUGUGAGAAGUCACGGGACUCUUGGGGUUUUUUAACUAGCAGCAAUAGUUGCCUUUUGGUGUGGGAAAAAGGUUGUCGCAUAGAAGAAAAAAUUAGAAGGGAGCAGCAGAAAGAAGAAGAGAGGUACGCAGCUCUCAUAUAAGAAAGAAAGGUGAUUUUCUUUCUUGGUUAGUUCUCACUCCAUCAAAGUUUUAUUGUUGUAAUAGCUUUGAGCUUUGUAUAGAGAAGAAAUUAAUCACUAUAUUUCUUUCUCUAUUUGUUUCUUUAGUGUGUGAGAGUUAUUGGGUGUAUUAGGUUAUUUGGGUUGUGAGAUUACCAACACUUUGUAAACUCCCAUUUGGUUGAUAGUGGAUUAUUGGGUGAGCUCCUACUGCUCCGAAGACGUACUCCAGUUACAUUGACUGUUGAGGAACCUCGUUAAAAUCUUGGUGUCUUUAAUAUUUUGUUCUUGCAUUUCAUUUGAUAUAUUUCCUGUGGGUUCAAAAGAGUUGGUUCUAAAAGGUUUGGUGCUAUCCUAGCACAACAAUUGGUAUCAGAGCACUGGUUGCUCUUGGGUACUGUCUAGUUGCCAAAGAUGUCAGACGGGCAAGAUGAAAAUCCUUUUGGAAGCAGCUCCGGGUUUGCAAGAACUACGGUGCAAAAUGCAAAGUUCGAAGUGAAAAAGUUUGAUGGCACAAACAACUUCGGGAUGUGGCAAUGUGAGGUCAAAGAUGUGUUGGCUCAACAAGAUCUACUUGCCGCUUUGGGAGAGAAGCCGGAAGCUAUGUCGAAGCCGGAAUGGGAGAAAUUAAAUUUGUGGGCUUGCUCUUCAAUUUGGUUGUGUCUUGCAAAAACUCAGAAGUAUUUUGUGAUGCGGGAGACAUUAGCAAGUGUGUUGUGGCAAAAAUUGGAAGACAAGUAUAUGACGAAAAGUGCAGAGAACCGGCUACACUUGAAGAAAAAGCUCUACCGCUUCCAAUACAAAGAAGGUACGAAAAUGAUUAGACACCUUGAUGCUUUUAAUAAGUUGAUUGCCGACUUAUUAAAUUUAGAUGAGGAUAUUAAGGAUGAAGACAAGGCCUUAAUAUUGUUGAAUUCCUUGCCGGACUCUUAUGAGCAUUUUGUUACCACUAUUAUGCAUGGUAAAGAAACUGUGAAAUUUGAAGAUGUGUCAAAUGCCUUGAUGAAUUAUGAGGCAUAGAGAUAAAACCCAUGAUAGUAACUCUGAAGCUUUAUUUGUUAGAGGUAGAUCAUCGGAGAGAAGAUCAUCUUCUAGUAGGAAAAAAUCACAGUCUCGACCUAGAGGAAACUCUAAAGGUAGAAAACCUUUGGAAAAGGAUGAAUGUGCCUUUUGUCGUAAUAAGGGCCAUUGGAAGAAAGAUUGUCCUAAAUUGAAGACCAAAGGCAAAGAAAGUUCUGAAGCUAAUGUUGCUGAGGUUGAAAUAGAUUUUCUGAUUUUGCUUUAACCACUUCCUCAUCAUUUGAUUGUGCUACUAAGUGGGUGUUGGAUACGGGUUGUACUCAUUAUAUGACUCCUCACAAGGAUUGGUUUUCAAGCUUGAAAGAGUUUGAUGGUGGUGGUGUGUUCAUGGGAGAUGACAAUCCUUGCACAACAAAAGGAAUUGGUACAGUUCGUUUGAAGUUGCAUGAUGGCAUGGUUAAAGAGUUGACAGGUGUUCGGUAUGUACCGAAUUUGAAGAAAAUCUUAUUUCUUUGGGUACUUUGGAAUCCAAGGGCUUCAGGUUUCAUUCAGAUGGACAGACAUUGAAAGUUACUUAUGGUGCACUUGUUAUGAUGAAAGCUCCUCGAUGUGGCCAUUUGUAUUUAUUGCAGGGAAGCACUGUGACAGGUGAAGCAUCUGUAGUCUCUGAAAAUAUGGGCACAUCUGAUUCAGAUACUACUAGACUGUGGCAUAUGAGAUUAGGCCAUGCCGGUGAGAAAGCUCUACAAGGGCUUGUGAAACAAGGUCUUAUAAAAGGUGCCAUGACUUGUAAACUUGAUUUCUGCGAGCAUUGUGUCUUGGGGAAGCAAACUAGAGUGAAGUUUGGUACUGCUGUACAUCAGACGAAGGGCAUUCUUGAUUAUGUGUAUUCGGAUGUUUGGGGUCCUACAAAGACUCCCUCUUUGAGUGGUAGACAUUGGUUCGUGACCUUUGUUGAUGAUUAUUCAAGAAGGUCUUGGGUCUACACUAUGAAGCACAAGAGUAAGGUGUUGAGCAUUUUCUUGGGUUGGAAGAAAAUAGUUGAGAACCAGACUGGGAGAAAGAUUAAGAUUUUGAGAUCGGAUAAUGGUGGUGAAUACACAUCCGAUCCUUUCUUUAAAGUUUGCAAAGAGGAAGGAAUUGUGAGACAUUUCAGUGUUCGGGGAACUCCACAACAAAAUGGAGUUGCAGAAAUAUUGAAUCGAACCUUGCUUGAGAAGGUUAGAUGUAUGUUGUCUCAGUCGGGUUUAAGCAAGUCAUUUUGGGCAGAGGCAGUUAAUUAUGCAUGUCACAUCAUCAACCGGUUACCCUCAGCUGCUGUUCAGGGUAAGACACCAAUGGAGGUAUGGACUGGAAAAAGUUCUUCUGAUUAUGACUAUAUCCGUAUUUUUGGUUCACCUGCUUAUUUUCAUGUGACUGAAAAUAAACUUGAUCCUAGAGCCAAAAAGGCUAUCUUUCUUGGUUUUAGUAGUGGUGUUAAAGGUUACAGGUUGUGGUGCCCAGAGAUGAAAAAACUUGUAAUUAGCAGAGAUGUGACAUUUGAUGAAGAAAGUAUGUUCAAAGACUCUGAGAAGAAUGUGAAAGAUGUCCAACAGGUGGAGCUUGAGAAAGUUGCAUCUGGUACUUCAAAUCCUAUUUCCGUUGAUGUCGAAGCCACUACAAGUGAAGAAGUUGGAGACCAUGAGGAUGUUGAAGAAGUUGAACUUGAAGAUUCUAUUCAAGUUGAAGAGCAAGUUUCACCUCAAGAGUCUAUUGCCAAGAACAGAGGAAAGAGACAAAUUACCAAGCCAGCUCGGUAUAGUGACUAUGUUUAUUUUGCUCUUCCUAUUAUCACUGAUGAGAUUCCAUCCAAUAUCGAGGAAGCCAUUGAGAGUGAGGAGAAUGAGAGGUGGUGCAAUGCCAUGGGUGAUGAGAUGAAUUCUCUCUUGAAGAACAAGACUUGGGAGUUAGCUAAAUUACCUAAGGGCAAGAAAGCUAUUGGUUGCAAAUGGGUGUAUGCCAAGAAGGAAGAUGCUGAUGAGAAAAACAAUGUGAGAUUCAAAGCAAGAUUAGUUGCUAAAGGGUAUGCACAAAAGGAGGGCAUUGAUUACAAUGAAAUUUUUUCUCCGGUUGUGAAACACUCCUCAAUUCGUAUUAUGUUAGCUCUUGUUGCACAUUAUGAUCUUGAGCUUGUGCAACUUGAUGUGAAGACGACUUUCCUACAUGGUGAUUUGAAUGAAGAGAUCUAUAUGUGUCAACCGGAUGGGUAUAUAGUGAAAGGGAAGGAAAAUUUGUUUUGCAAAUUGAAGAAAUCGCUUUGUGGCUUGAAGCAAUCUCCAAGGCAAUGGUAUUUGAGGUUUGAUAAAUUUAUGAGAGGCCAAAAUUAUUCUAGAAGUCAAUAUGAUCAUUGUGUGUACUUCAAGAAGUUGAAAGAUGGGUCUUUCAUUUAUUGUUGAUAUAUGUUGAUGAUAUGUUGAUUGCCUCAAAGAAUGUUGAAGAGAUUGAAAAAUUGAUGAAGCAAAUGAAGAAUGAGUUUGAGAUGAAGGAUCUUGGUGAAGCGAAGAAGAUCCUUGGCAUGGAGAUCACUAGAGAUAGAGAGAAGGGUUUGGUCAGUUUGAAUCAAAGACAAUACCUUGAGAAGUUGAUUCAGAAGUUUGGAGUUCAUGAUUCAACCAAACCGGUUAGUAUUCCUUUGGCUCCUCAUUUUAAAUUGAGUUCUCUACAAUGUCCUAAAAAUGAUAAAGAGAAGCUGCAAAUGAAAAGUAUACCAUAUGCAAAUUUGGUUGGUAGUUUGAUGUAUGCAAUGGUAUGCUCUAGACCGGAUAUUACUCAUGCAAUUGGCAUGGUGAGUCGAUAUAUGCAUAAUCCAGGUAAAAAGCAUUGGCAAACAGCUAAGUGGAUAUUGAGAUAUCUCCAUGGUACUCGAGAUGUUGGUUUAUGCUUUGAGAGGGAUGACUCUGGUAUUGGUCAUUUUGCAGUUGGUUAUGUUGAUUCAGAUUAUGCAGGUGAUCUGGAUGGAAGGAAGUCUACUACAGGCUAUGUGUUUACUAUGGCUAAAUGGCCAGUUUGUUGGAGGUCCAUUUUGCAGUCGUCUGUUGCCUUGUCUACUACAAAGGCUGAAUAUAUGGCAGUUGCUGAAGCUAUAAAGGAGGCCAUUUGGAUACAUGGGCUGAUUAGAGAUUUGGGGGUUGAUCAGAAGCAGGUGGAGGUACAUUGUGAUAGUCAAAGUGCCAUUUAUUUGGCUAAAUAUCAGGUUCAUCAUGCGAGGACCAAGCACAUAAAUGUGCGUUAUCACUUUGUUCGUGAAAUUGUUAGUGAAGGGGAAAUCAUUCUCCAGAAGAUUCCAACUAAAGACAACCAUGCUGAUAUGUUGACUAAGGUUGUUGGUGUAGCCAAGUUUGUUCACUGUUUGAACUUGGCUCACAUUAUGCCUAUAUAAAGAAGGCGUUGAGCAGUAGGAGUUUUGGAGCAUUUGGCUCGGCAUGAAUUGUUCUCUUGCUAGUGUUUGGGAGUGAUUUUUUGGGUCAAUUGUGUUGGUUGGCUUAUCAUGGCGUUUUCGGAACUUGGCCAAGGUGGAAAUUGUUGAAUUGUGGCCAAGUGGCCAUCACCUUUCCUAAUAAACAAACCAAAAGAAAAAAAAGGGAAAGGACAACAUGAUUAUGUUUCCUUGUUUUGGGGAAAAGAAAAGUGAAAUUUGUCUAAAGUUUUUUCUUUGGUCCAUGUGAGAAGUCACGGGACUCUUGGGGUUUUUUAACUAGCAGCAAUAGCUGCCUUUUGGUGUGGGAAAAAGGUUGUCGCAUAGAAGAAAAAAUUAGAAGGGAGCAGCAGAAAGAAGAAGAGAGGUACGCAGCUCUCAUAUAAGAAAUAAAGGUGAUUUUCUUUCUUGGUUAGUUCUCACUCCAUCAAAGUUUUAUUGUUGUAAUAGCUUUGAGCUUUGUAUAGAGAAGAAAUUAAUCACUAUAUUUCUUUCUCUAUUUGUUUCUUUAGUGUGUGAGAGUUAUUGGGUGUAUUGGGUUAUUUGGGUUGUGAGAUUACCAACACUUUGUAAACUCCCAUUUGGUUGAUAGUGGAUUAUUGGGUGAGCUCCUACUGCUCCGAGGACGUACUCCAGUUACACUGACUGUUGAGGAACCUCGUUAAAAUCUUGGUGUCUUUAAUAUUUUGUUCUUGCAUUUCAUUUGAUAUAUUUCCUGUGGGUUCAAAAGAGUUGGUUCUAAAAGGUUUGGUGCUAUCCUAGCACAACAAGCCUUACCUCAAUGGCCUCGAAUCCGGAGAACGAAUCUACAGCCUCGAGAGAGGUCGAGAAGCCUCCGAUUGAGCCAGUUCGGCUGCCGACGGUGGAGGAGAUGCACGGUCAAGACAUUUGGAACAACUGCGCUGUCCGUAGCGUCGUUAGUGGAGUUAUGGGUAUGGUUAAAGUUCUUUCAUUUGCUUAAUUUUUGGAUUCUCUCACAUGGGUUUUUGUUUGUUUUCCUCUCUUUGUUUGGUUGCCGAGAAAAUGUGGGAAAAAGUAAGUCUUUUUUUUUAGUGUUGGUUUUUUUUCCCUUUAUUUCUGUUUGGUUGCCGAGAAAACUUUGGGAAGUUACUGUCUUUUUGUUUGUAUGUGGUCUCAGAAUUGUAUUGUUGUGGGGUUCAGAAAGUGCAGAAGAUUGGUGUAUUAGUAAGGUUGUGAUAGAUAUAGUCUAAAUUUCGUUACUUUUAAGUGAGUAUUGGGGUUUGCUCUAUAUAGCAAACUCUACCAGAAGGUUACAUUGUUGUUUACAUUGAUUUUGGCCCGGAAAAGCACUUGGAAGUGCUUUCCCAGAAGAGCUUUUAAGUCUAUCAACUAGAGUUUUUCCAUGUACUUUUGUAUAGAACUUAACACUAAACAGAUGUUGAUUGUUAAUUCUAUAAGCUUUGGAAAUUUCAUAGGUUGUGGGCUUGGGUUGAUGAUGGGUUUGCUUCUCGGAGCGUUAGACACCCGUAUAAUGCAAGACGAAAUGACUGGUAAACGACAAUUCAUUUAGCAAGCAAAGUCGAUGGGCCGGAGGAGUUGGAGUUCUGAAAAAGCAUUUGCAGUUAUGGGAUUGGUUUUCUCAGCUGCCGAGUGUGUUGUUGAAAAGGUAUUCUGGAUAUGUCAAAAUUCAUGAUCGUAAAUUUUAUUUGAUCGAUGAGGUUUAAUUUCUUUGCUAUAGGGACUAAUUCUGGAUUAUUGUUUUCAGGCACGGGCUAAACAUGACACAACAAAUACAGUUGUUGUUGGAUGUAUAACUGGAGGUGCACUGUCAGCCAAAGGUAACCAACUUUCUCCAUCAGUUAUCAUCGUUUCUUUAUUGAUAUACAAGGCUUUGAGGGCGACCCUUGCCCUAAAAGACACGUGAUAUAACAUGGGUGAAAGAAGAGUAAACCGGACAAGUACCGGCCUUGUAGGUGUUAUUCUCAUCAUGGUCCAUGUUAAGAUUAGACCCUUACGCCUCUUUAUGUUGUCCUGUUGUAGCUGGUCCGCAAGCAGCCUGUGUUGGUUGUGCUGGCUUUGCUGCAUUUUCGGUGCCGAUAGAGAAGUUUUUGGAUAGACUUGAUUGAGUUUGAGCGCGUUGCCUGUGCUGCCCCAGUUUUGCGGACACUCAAAAUAUGACAAUUCAGCAGAAGUGCCCUGCGCUGAUACAAAUGUUUUGUGCUUAGGUUGAACUUCAGCCCUUGUUAUGGUUAUUUAUCCAAAAUUGUUUAUGAAGGGAUGUUCUAGCGAACAUACAAAUCCAAUGAUUUUGUGUAAUGCAUUCACUCGACUACAGUAGAGAUUUUUUGAGAAUCUACACCGUAUUUUUAGCGGUACUAUCAUUGAUUUAGAUUUGUAAUUCAACAAAUGAACACCCAAACGAAAGGAUUAAUUCCCGGUAGGAAGUCUCAACUCGAGAAAGAUAUUCAGAUUUUGAGAAGGUGAUUUGCGCUCUAAAGAAAUGAGCUUGCUUGCUGGAUAGGCAUCAAGGCAAAAUCUUGGUAAAUCAAGGCAAAAUCUUGGUAAAUCAAAGAAUCUUGCUUUAUAAAAUCAAAGAAACUUAACAAGUCACCAUAGACGGUUUGGAUGGAAUUUAUCGUGAUAAUUAAAUAAGCAAAUGGUCUUGGAUUAAAUUGAAUUUUUGCAACAAACAAUGAAAUUGACCAACACUUGUUCUAUAAGAAACAACGAAAUUUCAUCGAUAUAAUUGAAUAGACAAAUGGUUUUGAACAUUAGUAGCUUGAGAUCUAAUAUAAUUUUUUUUUUCAAAAAAAUAAUUACCUAAGAGAACAGGGGCACGAAUGCCAAAUUCCGCUUCACCGUGACAUAUAUGCUUGCUUCUGUCAUUGAGGAUUGAUUCGUAAUCCAUCAUGUUCGUUUAUAUGAGAUUCUGAGAAGAAGGUUUACGUUCUAAAAAAAAAUUAGUCUGCUUGCCGACCAGUGGCGGAGGCAGUUAAGGACUACAAUAGUCCUAAGCCUACUCUCACUUAAAAAAUAAGAUUAGUCUACUACACCUAUUUCUAUUGCUUUGCAGCCCUUCUCAACAACUAAAACAAAUUCAAUCAUUAUCUAUUUUUCAUCUCAUAGAUACCAUCCCAAAAAUAAGUAUAUAUUUUAAAUAGUCAUUUAUCACAAGGAGUAGUGCUAUAUGCAUACAUUUUUUUUACCUUUAACACAUUCUUGUUAAUUUAUGUUAUUCGAUAUUCAAUUUAUUCAAUCAGAUGAUCGCAAAUUGAAAGGGUGUAUGGAAAGCAAAAAGAGGUGUGUGGAUAGCACAAUUCUCUCACAAAUCAAUAACAUUAAAUUAAAGCCCAUCAUUCACUUUUAAUUAAAAUAAAAUCGUCUUUCACUUAUGCAUGGGGAGAGUUUUUACCUUUUCUUAUUGAAUUUCAUAUAUUUAGCCAUUCUAAAUCCCAAAUUUAUUGAAUAAAGAACAAAAAGGUUUGUAAUACUCUAUUAUUCAUUAUAAAACAUUUGUUUCUAUUCUAUCCCACCUCUUACUUGAGUUUAGGGUUUGCAAAGAUUUUCGUACUUCUCUCUAUUCAGUUUAAUAAUUAUUUAAAUACUAUAGAUGACAUUAUGCAACUUUUUCAUUGCAAUUCGUCAAGAAUAAUUUUGAUUACUAUGGAUAGAUAAAAUUAUCUAUGCAUAUGUUAAUUUUGACUACUUAAUUAUUUGGAUAACUAUUAUGAUGUUUUGCAUUAGUAAUUUUAUAACCACUAUUCGUUUUUUCUUCUUCUAUACUUGUUUGAGGCCCCUCCUCACAAGAAAUCUUGGCUCCGGCACUGUUGCCGACACAGCCACUAUAGAUUCACCCCUCGAAAUUUGUUAUUCCUUUCAUCCAAGGAGAGCAAACAGCAGCAUCAAGGCAAAUCUUUUUGGUAAUAAGAGCAAAGAAUCUUGCUUUGUAGAAAGCAAGCAAGAAAACAAAGGUGUCCACCGUCUAUAUAAACUAGCAAAGUAGACAAGCAAUCGCACAACCAUCCUGCAUCAUUAAGUUUAUCUUCAUAUAUACUUUCCUACACGGCUGACUUUUUCUUCCUCUCUACUCUCAACCGAUUUCUAAGUUUCUAACCCUGAAAAUGGCCGAUGCGCUCAUUUCCAUUCUACUAGAAAACUUGGCUUCAACAACUUAUCAAUAUGUAGCAGACGAGGUGAUACUCGUUCUGAACAUUAAGAAAGAAGUUGAAGAAUUCGCUGACAACCUCAAAGCUAUUGAAUCUGUGCUUGAGGAUGCAGAGCGAAGGCAAAUGAAGGAGGUCAACGUGCAAAACUGGCUGGAUAACCUGAAGGAAAUAUCGUACGAGAUGGUGGAUGUGGUGGAUGAGUGGAACACGGACAUCCUGAGACAAGAAUUUAAGAAACAAGAAAGACAAGGUGCAACUCAUAUUACUCCUCAGAGGAAGGUAAGUUUCGCUAUCUUCGCUCGUUGUUUUUGUCUUGGCCAAGUCGGCAAGAUAAUUAUUCGUCGUAAAUGCUCUCAAGAUAAAAGAUCUAAAUGAGCAGUUAGCUGGGAUUUAUAAGCAAAGAAAAAUGUAUAAUUUUCAAAUCACUGAAAGAACAGCAAACUUCGUCUUUUGUCGAUAUGUUUGAGAUAUUUGGUCGAGAAAAGGAAAAAGAUAGUUUGAUAAGGAAGUUGGUGAGUGAUGCUAGUGAAGAAGGGAUGAGGCUCCUCAUCAUCCCUAUUGUAGGGAUGGAAGGCAUGGGAAAGACAACUUUGGCUCAGUUAGCCUGUAAUGAUGCCACUGUUGAAGCUCAUUUUUAAAAGAGAAAAUGGGUUUGUGUGUCAGAACCUUUCGAUGAGAUAAAGAUUGCCAAAGAGAUUAGUGGUGAUGCCUCCUCAAGUUCAAUUGGGUUGGAUCAUGUCUUAGAAUCUAUCUUAGGAUCCAUUAAGGGGGUAAAAUUUCUUCUUGUGUUGGAUGAUGUGUGGAACGACGACUUCAAAAAGUGGGAUCAAUUAAGGAUUCCAUUGAUGCAAAAUGGGGCUGAGGGCAGUAGAUUACUAGUAACCACUCGAAAACAAAAUGUUACUAGUAUGAUGACAGCAACCUCUCACAUGAUCAAUCUUGCAGAGUUGAGUGAAGAAAAUUGUUUGUCAAUCUUCAAUCACAUGGCAUUUUCUAACACAGAAGUAGACGAGUCUGAGGUGUUUGGAGAUAUCAGUAGGGAAAUUGUAAAAAAGUGCAAGGGUUUGCCACUUGUUGCAAAGACUUUAGGUAGUAUGAUGUGCAAUAAGACAACCAGGAUUGAAUGGUUGGACGUUCUGAAUAGUAAAAUAUAGGAUUGGGAAGAAGUGGAGCAAGAAGUUUUCCCGCCAUUCUAAGUUACUAUGAUUUGGCCUCAAGAAAUAGAUGUUGCCUUCUAUAUUGUGCUAUUUUCCCAAAAGAUUACGAGUUUAGUAGGGAUGAGUUGAUUAAUCUUUGGAUGACACAAGAUUAUCUUAAUUCCAGGGAGAAUAAAGAUAAAGGAAAAAUCGGUCAAGUUGUUUUUGAUAAUUUAGUUGUGCGGUCUUUUUUUCAAGAUUUUGAAAAACACCUUGACACUGGUACAAUAAUAGGUUGUAAAAUGCAUGACAUUAUACAUGACUUUGUGCAAUUUAUCACCAAGAAGGAAAGUUUGAUUAUGGAGGGCUGAGGGUGCAAACUGUAAAAUAGAGGUACUGGGCAGUAAUCUUCGCCAUUUGAACUUAAAGUCUAAAGCUUAUCGUCGAGGUGUACUUUCUAUCACUUCUGACAAUUGCAAAAGUCUAUGUUGGAAUGCAUGCAAGUCAUAUCUUUUGUUAAAAUGCAUGCAUGAAAUAAACAUGUUGGAUGACUAGUGAAGUUAGGCUAGUCAACCUUCUUUGUGUAAAUUAGGCAAGUUAGGCAAGUUAGGAAAUUAGGCAAGUUAGGCAAGUUAGGCAAGUUAGGCUUAUGUUCUCUUUCUUUUCCUAUAUAAUGUUUCAUCUUGUAAUUGUUUUGAUAUGAAAUACACAUAAAAAAUUCAACAUGGUAUCAAAGCAGGAACUCGAAAUUCCUGGCUCUGUUGAUCGUUUCCGCUAAGUUUCUUUUACUCUAAGCCAAGAUGGCUGUAGAACAUUAUGAAGCUGAGUGCUCGAUGGAUGCUCUGUUGAUCAUUUCUGCUAAGUUUCUUUUACUCUAAGCCAAGAUGGCUGAAGAACAUUUACUCUAAGCCAAGAUGGCUGGAGAACAUUUACUCUAAGCCAAGAUGGCUGGAGAACUUUUACUCUAAGCCAAGAUGGCUGGAGAACAUUUACUCUAAGCCAAGAUGGUUGGAGAACAUUAUGAAGCUGAGAGCUCGAUGGAUGCUUUAGCUUUACCUAACGUUGUUCAAGUUUGCGGCACGAAGCCAUUUCAAGUUUGUUUGUUUGCGGCACGAAGCCAUUACUGUUUGUUUGCGGCACGAAGCCAUUUCAAGUGGGAAUUUGGUAACAUGGCGCAGCAAGAAGCAAAGCGUUAUUUUUACUAAACCUCUUCCUACGGUUCAGUUCAUGCGCAUUCUGUCCAAGCUUGGCUCAAGGAAUCCCCUCGAUCCAGCUUGAGGGGGAGUGUUGGAAUGCAUGCAAGUCAUAUCUUUUGUUAAAAUGCAUGCAUGAAAUAAACAUGUUGGAUGACUAGUGAAGUUAGGCUAGUCAACCUUCUUUGUGUAAAUUAGGCAAGUUAGGCAAGUUAGGAAAUUAGGCAAGUUAGGCAAGUUAGGCAAGUUAGGCAAGUUAGGCUUAUGUUCUCUUUCUUUUCCUAUAUAAUGUUUCAUCUUGUAAUUGUUUUGAUAUGAAAUACACAUAAAAAAUUCAACAGUCUACGUACGCUGAUAGCAAUUAAUUCAAGUGUUGAUAGGGUAGGCGCUAGUUUUAUUUUAGAAUUUAAGUGUCUUAGGACGAUAAAUUUGUUUGGAAAUUUCAUGGAUGUACUCCCACAGGAGAUUGGUGAAUUGGUGCAUUUGAGACAUAUGGAUUUGUCUUGGAGUGAAAAGUUGGGGAAAUUACCAGACGCCAUUUGCGGUUUAUACAAUUUGUAUACCUUGGACCUUCGGGGAUGCUAUGCACUUGAAAAAUUGCCUGAUAACAUGGGAAAAUUGAUUAGCUUAAAGCAUCUUUACGUUGGCCAUUGUGACUCGUUGAAGUACUUGCCAAAAGGGAUAGGGAGAUUAACAAGUUUGCAAACACUAGACGUCUGUCCUAUGUUUCCAGUUGAUAGCGUCAGAGCAUUUCAAGCUGGGGAUUUGGGAAGUUUGAACCAGCUCCAGGGCAGUCUCAGAAUAAGCAUUUUGGGGUAGGUGAAAAACCGGAGUGAAGCACAAUUGCGGGACAAGAAGCAACUUUUUCAUCUCCAACUUGAUUUUGGUGAAGUGCGUGAGGAUCUGGAAUCUUUAGAGACCAAUGUGCAAAUAAUGAAUGUCUUACGACCACAUGAUGAUCUGGAAUCUUUAGGGAUUUAUGAGUAUUCUGGCUCGACUUGGCCGAAUUGGUUGGUGUCUUUAAACAAGUUGCGAUUCCUUACUCUGCAGUAUAAUUGGGGUUGUGAAACUUGGAAGAUUGCCGUUCCUUGAAAAGCUAUACGUAAGGGGGAUGGGUGUAAGAAAGGUUGGUGGUGAGUUUUUGGGAGUAGAAUAUGAUGAUCAAACAUCUUCUUUGUUCAAAUCAUCCUCAUCAAUAUUAUUCCCCAAAUUGAAGCAACUCAAAUUUAAUGACAUGUGGUAUUGGAAGGAUUGGGAAGGCAUGAAAGGGGGGAACAAAGUUGUUUAUACCAUAUUUAGGGCCUCGUAUUUAGACCUCGUAUAAAUACUCGAGGGACUUAAAUGUAAUUAUGUAAUAAAGGAAGGGGCAAAUAUGUAAUUAGGGGAGGAUCCCUUAUUCUAUAAAAGGGCAUCUUCACCCUCACAAACUUUAAGCCUCUCCUAUCUAGAGCAAAGCUUUCACACUCUCUCCUUCGCAAAUACUCUCAGAGAAAUACAAUCAGUGUGGACGUAGCCCAAACCUUGGGGUGAACCACGAUACAUCUUGUGUUAUUUACAUUUCAUGUAGAUUCACGGUCGGAUUUACGUUGUUCCAAGACCUCCGGUUUUAUGCAUCAACAUUUGGCGCCGUCUGUGGGAAACGACAUGAAAAGUUAUGUCGUUUCUCUCUCAAUUUUUCAUCUCACCACCGUGAAACCUUCACAACCUCACCACUAUCCACCGUAGAUCUGAAAAACCCACACAGAGACACAAUCGUUUUCUCUGACAAAAUCUCAUAAACUCGUUCAGAGACGAGACCACAAACUAACAACCCUCUUCUUUUUUUCACCUUUGACCGUACUUCUUGGUGAGUUCAAAUUUCCAAUUGAAAUCCCAGUAGCAGAAAUGCAAAUGUUAAAUAUCACUUUGAAUUGGAGGCCUCUUUCGACUUCCACUCCAUGAUCGAAUCCUAAGCUCGAAUUCCAAGCACUAUCAGUCGCGGAGCUCAAAGAGCGCCACGCGGUGGCGAGCGACACCGUCAACUCGCUAAGAGAGCGGUUGAAGCAGAAGCGCGUUUCCUUACUUGACACAGAUGUGGCUGGGUAUGUAAGGUCACAAGGGAAGACUCCCCGCCAAGCUCAACGCACAGAUCCGCCAAGCUCAACGCAAAGAUCCGCCGCGACCCACUCGAUCGUUUUUUAUUUUCAGAGAGCACCAUGGCCUUUGUAUUAUCUUUUCCUGUAAAACUUCAUCCUUCAAACCAUCAGGUGGGGUAGAUCCUGCUUUCCUCCAUCAUGGCUUCGCAGGAUAAAGGUUGACCGCUACCGAAAUUCGGGGAAUGGGAUGUAAACUACCCAGCUUCAGCUGAAGGAUUUACUGUUAUAUUUAACAAGGUCAAAGUUGACAAGAAGACCAGUGUGGCUCAUCUCCAUAGCCGGUCCUCCGUGGCAGCUCUUCACCAUCACCCGGCCUUUCAAACUUAGUCCUCCCAUAGCUCGGCCUUCUCGACGGCUCUUCGCCGUUUAGCUAAAAAUAUGGGUGAUAGGUAGCAUGCGCUUUGUUGAAGUGGCUUUGGUAGAACCAGAUAAACGUGUUGUAGCACUGGCAGAUGCGUAUUUCUUCCCACCCUUCCAGCCGUCAUUGUUUCCCAGAACCAAAGGUGGACCUAUGAUUCCUAGUGAACUUCCUCCAAGGCAAGCGAGACUUGUGGUUUAUAAUAAAAGAUCAAAUGAGACGAGCAUCUGGAUUGUUGAACUAUCAAAGGUGUAUGCAACAACUAGAGGUGGUCACCAUAUGGGUAAAGUCAUUUCAUCCAAAGUUGUUCCAGAUUUUCAGCCCCCCGUGGUAUAUAAGCCCAGGCCCAUAGAGUCCCCCACUGCCCCUUCCACAGCUUUCGCACCAACACAUACAAGCUCACUUUCAUGAAGUCCCCUUUCUGGCAUUAAAAUUAUAUUGGUUACACAUCCUAGAACUGGUGACUUGAGGGAGUCUCAAAAGCUACAUUUACAACUUGUAUGUCGAGUAUGUGGUGACUUAAGAGCCGAAAGAUCCAAAUUCAAAGAGGAGUCGAGUGUGAGGUGGCUGCUUUUUCUGAUGUUUCUGCUGCCGUGUUUCAGCCCGUCGCCUCCAAUAUCUCCAUUCUUGAGCAGUGAUAGGAGCAUAUUUAUGCGACUGAGUUAGCUUGUUCUCAUGCAUUUAUGUUGUUAUUUCUUAGUUAAUUAUGUAUUUUAAGUUAUUUUCGUGUGUUUGUAGGUCCAAUGGGUUAAUGUGGCAAAUAAGUGCAUUUUGGAGCAUUUUUAGGCAUGGAAUGGAUAGCUUAUGCUUAGAGCAAAAGGAAUGGACGAAAUUUGAAGUUUGUGCAUCAUCAUCUCCCUAUAAAUAACCGUUUUAGCACACUCAUUUCACCCAACACAUUCACCUACCAUUACAUACACUCAUUUCACCCAACACAUCCACUCAUUACAACCACCCAACACAUUCACCUACCACUACAUCCACUCAUUUCACCCAACACAUCCACUCAUUUCAACCACCCAACACAUUCACCUACCACUACAUCCACUCAUUACCACCACCCACUACAUCCUCUUCCUAGCCUAUAAAUACAUUCAUCCACCCUUCAUCAAAAGAGAGAUAUAUCAAUCAAAACACAUCCAUUCAUCUUCACAUCCAUUCCUCCAUAGAAACAAACCUUCAAACACUUGCCAACACCUUGUGCCGUAGCAAAAGAAUGGAAGGAAAGUGCUUGGAUGUGCUUGUUGUCCAACUUGGAUCGUUGGAGUGUUUAUGUGUUUUCUUUCUUUUGUUUCCAAUGUUUAAAUUCAUUUUAUUUUGUUUUGUUGUGAAGAUGAGUGGUUAAACCCCUCUUGGCUAGGGGUGAUUUCAAAGCCAUGAUUAUGUGUGUAAUAUGAUUUGAUAAAUUCCAGUUAUGAACUCUUGAAUCGUAAAUGCAAUUGGCUUAACUAUUUGAUUGAUAACUUAUUUGUAUUUGUUGAUUAAGGGUCGACACUUAAUUGGCAUGCAUUAAUCCGUUGCUAGAAUAUAAAGAAGUUUCACAUAAUCGCUACAAACUUAUAUUCACAUGUAGUGAAGGUCGCUUAUAAACAAUCGUGUUAAGUUCAAUUCCUAGCAUGAGUGACAUGAUGCCAUAGUUGCAAGUGUUUUGUCAAUGCUUAUGAUUUUCAUUAAACGUAAUGAUAUUUGAUUGUAUCUCUAUUAUGAUGUCAUGUAGGGAACUUUAGAAUAAUGUUUUGGGUUGCCAAAUGAUGUCAUCCAAUCAAAUAAAACAAGGAAAAUCUUAGAGUUAAUUAGUGAUGUCACGGUUAAUUUGGAGCAUUGUCAUUCAUAAUUCAAUGAAGUAGUAACUGGAAAUCGAGUUAUUUGCAUACAUGUCAUGUGUAGAAAAAAAGCCUCUAUCUAUCUCAUCCAUCAUCUUAUUUCUCAAAUUUGUUUUACAAUCUGUCUAGUUUUUCAUAAUUGUUUGUUUGUUUCAACUUCGUCCAAAACUCAAUCCCCAUUUACUUUAGUGUGUCUAAUUAGUUGUAAUAUGUUUUAAUUUGUGUUUUUAAAUGUUUUGAUUCAAGUAAAAGUCAAUUUUCGUCCAAAGUCAUUUCUAGUGUCUAGUUUAAGUUUAUUUAGUUGUUUUAAGUUGUUUUGAGUAUUUUAAGUUUGCUUUGAGUCUUGUGAGUCUUGUUAAGUAUUUUUAAGUUUAGUUUUAUGUUUUUGAGUCAGUUUAGAGGUUAUUAGCAAGCCCUCCUAAUAUCCGGUCCAGAACGAUCCAUACUUAUACUUGUACUACAAUUGUCAAAAGAGGGUUAAAUUUGUGUGUUAAGAUAAUUUUCGCAUCAAGCAGCUCAAGACCUUUGCUGUUGACAAAAUGAUAGACUUGCCGUUGAGAUAAGAUCCCUCUUUUCUUUAUUAUCAAAAGAGGGUUAAAUUUGUGUGUUAAGAUAAUUUUCGCAUCAAGCAGCUCAAGACCUUUGCUGUUGACAAAAUGAUGGACUUGCCGUUGAGAUAAGAUCCCUCUUUUCUUUAUUAUUUUACUUUAUCAUCAUUACUUCCCUAGCCACCAGAAAAUGAUGGAACUUUCAUGAUACAAACCCAUACUCAAAGAAAUCAGAGGCACAAUGGAAAGAUACCAAGAAAAGCAGUGGGAACAGAAAAGCAAAAAAAAAAAAAAAAAAUAAAAAAAAAGAAAAGAGGAGUGAUGGGCACGACCAGGCUGUCCAAGAAAGCAAGUGGGUGGUAUCAAGGCUGUCAUGUUACGUUUUACAGAAGAACAUGCAGGAAACGGAAAAGAGGAAACAAAACAAAAGCAAAGCAGAAAGCAAAAACAAAGAAUGAUGUGAUUUGCUUUUAUUGUUUUUAUGAUGUAAUUUAUUUUUAUCUUUCGGAGAUAUGCUCAAAAGAGCCAUACCCUUUAUUAUCACCAACCAGGUGACCAAAAGUACGCCCAGUACUCCACAAUUAUUCGGCAACCUACCGCUAUUACCACCGACCAGGUGAUGAGAUGUACAACCCGUACUCUAAUUUGGCAACUAGCCAUUCAUGCCACCAACCAGGUGAUCAAAAGUACGCCCAGUACUUCAUAUUAUACAUGAGCAUUACUCAUAUCAAUCAUACAUAAACAUUCAUGAGCAUCACUCAUGUCAACAUUCAUGAGCAUCACUCAUGUUAACAUCCAUAAGCAUCACUCAUGUUAAUCAAACAUUCAUGAGCAUCACUCAUGUCAAUCAAACGUUCAUGAGCAUCACUCGUGUCAAUCAGUUUCAAAAGCUUCAUUUACAAAAUCACUAGCUUCAAAAGCUUUUUUUUACAGAGCUACAACUUCAAAAGCUUCAUUUACAACUUCAAAGCUUCACUUACAAAGCUUCAGUGCAGGGUAUACAAAUACCGCCUCCAAACAACCGUCACUUCGGCCCGUACAUGGAUUCAAUUUGAAGUCUCCAGCCAACAGACUCUAUUAACCGAAGACUUGAAGGACUACAUUAUGUACCAUAUAUUGGGCCUCAACUGGGCCUCAUGAAAAAUACUUGGGGGACUUAGCCCAUUACUUAUGUAUUGAAGAGCGAGCCCUUAUUCUAUAAAAGGGACUCUCUCACUUUCAUUAGAGAGCACCUAUUAUUCAUGUACUAAGGAGCGAGCUCUUAUUUUAUAAAAGGGACUCCCUCACCAUCAUUAGAAAGCAACGCCGCCAGCUGAGCAACCGUCUCGCUGCGAGCAUUACUCCUAACCCAUCACUUAUGUAUUUAAGAGCGAGCCCUUAUUCUAUAAAAUGGUGAGGGAGUCCCUCACCACCAUUAGAGAGGAUCGCCGCCUACUAAGCAACCGCCUCGCCGCGAGUAUCAACUCUAGCACAUCAUUUAUGUAUUGAGGAACGAGCCCUUAAUAUAUAAAAGGGACUCCCUCACCAUCAUUAGAGAGCAUCAACUCUAGCCCAUCAUUCAUGUAUUGAGGAGCAAGCCCUUAUUCUAUAAAAUGGACUCCCUCACCUUCAAACGCCGUAAGCCGAGCCAACCAAGGAAACAUAAGCCACAAGCCGAGCAGCCUCGCAGCGUGUGCUACUUCUAGUUGAGCGUCAUUUUAGAUUGAGCACUGCCUCAUAUUGAGCAUCAGUUUAAGACAUCAUCUAGUUACUUCGGCCCACACAUGGACUGAAUUUUAAGUCUCCAGCCAAAAGACUCUCUUAACUGAAGACUUGGGGGACUACUGUUUAUACCAUAUUUAGGGCAUCGUAUUUAGACCUCGUAUAAAUACUCGAGGGACUUAAAUGUAAUUAUGUAAUAAAGGAAUGGGCAAAUAUGUAAUUAGGGAAGGAGCCCUUAUUCUACAAAAGGGCCUCCUCACCCUCACAAACCCUAAGCCUCUCCUAUCUAGAGCAAAGCUCUCACACUCUCUCCCUCGCAAAUACUCUCAGAGAAAUACAAUCAGUGUGGACGUAGCCUAAACCUUGGGGUGAACCACGAUACAUCUUGUGUUAUUUACAUUUCAUGCAGAUUCACGGUCGGAUUUACGUUGUUCCAAGACCUCCGGUUUUAUGCAUCAACAAAAGUAGAUUUUGGAAUUACAAUCAUGCCAUGCCUUUCUUUCUUACACAUAAAUGCGUGCUAUGGGUUAGGAACACUGCCAGAUUUCCUAUGCGAAAUACCACUGCAGAAUCUUACCAUUUUGGGGUGUUCUAAACUUGCCCAACAUUGCGUAAAAGGUAGCAGAAAAGAGUGGCUCAAGAUUUCUCACAUCUCAAACAUCGAGAUUUAGAACAUAUAUGGUGAGUUGCACUGCUUUGAUUUUUUACUUCAUUUGGAUAUAUAUAUAUAUAUAUAUAUGUAUAUGUAUAUGUAUAUGUAUAUAUAUAUACAAAUGCAAUUUAACUAUUUGCUUUCCAAAUUGCAGUACCUUUUUCAAACAUCAAACCUUCAACAGAUAUGGUGCACUGGGGCAAAAAAGUUUCCAGCUUAUCUGAUGACUGAUAUAAAGAGAAUUUAUCAAGUGAUGUCGAUGUAACUUGUCGAGAUAUGCCUAUUAGGCACCACAUCAAACAUUUGACAAGCACAAAAAGGACAAACACCAAACAUUCAGAUGUUCCUCGUAAAACCUUUGCAUGUAUAUUUUUAAGACUCCGGGUGGCCUAAAUAUACAUCUGCACUGGCAUAUAUCGUUGAACGAUGCUCGUUUGCCAUCUCCGCCAUCACUCCCAGCCCAAGCUGGCCGUCCGAUAAGGUCAAGGGCGAGGAAGCUGCGUGGGAAUUUGCCAAGGAGAAGGGCUGGAUGUCGUGUGGUGAAUCCAGGCACAGUGAUAGGCGCUGUUAUGUCGCGGAGUCUCAAUGCUAGCAUGUUGAUGCUCGUUCGCCUUCUUGAGGGUACUUUUCUCUGCAAAUUAGCGAAUUGAAAUCUGAUUUUUCCUAUAAUAGAAUUUUCAUGCGGGUAUAGAUUUGCAUACAUCAUCUUCCCUUGGUCUGCUUAGAAUCACUUCCAAAUGUCGAUUUCCAGGUUUAUCAACCUUUUGGUGCAUUCUCGCUUGCCUUCCGAAUUUUACAAAUUUUUUAGGUGACAUUGUUUCUUGUUUAUAAAAAAAAUAAGAAAUUGUUAUUGACAUUCAAAAUUUUCUAUAAUUAGUAAGAAAAUUAUAUUGUGAGAAAUGUAGAGUAAAUUUUUUGAAGUAUUAAUAAUAGUUUCCUAAAAAUAGACGAUAUUACUAAUUUGCAUACAUCAUCUUCCUUUGGUCUGCUUAGAAUCACUUCCAAAUGUCGAUUUCCAGGUUUAUCAACCUUUGGUGCAUUCUUGCUUGCGGAAUUUUACAAAUAUUUUAGGUGACCGUGACAUUGUUUCUUGUUUAUAAUAAAAAUAAGGAAUUGUUAUUGGCACUUCAAAAAUCGCAUUUUGCAUUUUAAACUGUUUAUAAUUAGUAAGAAAAUUACACUGUGAGAAAUGUAAAACAAAAUUUUUAAAUUGUUAAUAACAAUUUCCUAAAAAUAAACGAUAUUACUAAUUUGGGAUACAUAGAGAAAGCAAUCGUUUUAACUCAAGAUACAGUGUGUAGUGUGUGUUUUAUUUAUAUACUCAAUUUCGAUCUCUAUAUCUUUUUAUUUGAAAAUUCCAAUUAGAUUUUGGGCCUGCCUAAACGAAAAUUAUCCAGCUGGCCCAAUCCAACUUGAUCACCAUCAACAAUCAGCUAAAGUAAAUGAGGGACACACGACAGCCGAAAGCUAAGGGCCACAGGAGGGAGGAUGUCGAAGCAGGGUGAGGUCGUAUGCGUUACCGGUGGAAGCGGCGGCAUCGGAUCCUGGCUCGUCCGUCUCCUCCUCCACGGUGAUUACACCGUCCACGCCACCGUCAAGGAUCUCAGUAACUUCACCCUUGCUUUUCCCCUUAUCUACACAACUGCCACAGUUCCAUUCAUUCCAUUCGCGUUCAAUCCAAAAUUAAUAACGCCGUUGUUUUGUUUGUUGCAGAGGACGAUGGCGAGACGAAGCAUCUAGAAGCGUUAGUAGAGGGGGCAGAGUCGCGCCUCCGUCUCUUCCAGAUCGACCUCCUCGACUACAACUCCAUACUCGCCGCCGUCAAUGGUUGCUCCGGCGUCUUCCACCUCGCCUCUCCCUGCAUCGUCGACCAAGUCCACGACCCCGAGGUUCGCAUCAUUAAGCAAUAUCAAAUUCCUUUUAAUUUUGAUUAUAUUUGAUUAAUUAUGCUUAAUUAUGAAACUUUGGUGCUUUUUUUUGGUUUAAUCUGCAGAAGGAGCUUCUGGACCCGGCGAUCAAAGGAACGCUCAAUGUUCUGACGGCCGCGAAGCAGGCUGGGGUCAGCCGUGUGGUGCUGACGUCAUCCAUCUCCGCCAUCACUCCCAGCCCAAGCUGGCCGUCCGAUAAGGUCAAGGGCGAGGAUUGCUGGACAGACAUUGAUUACUGCAAGCAGAAGGGAGUGAGUUACUCGAAUGCCUAAUAUACGGUUUAUUGUCUGUUUAAUGUCCGCAUUCAAUUUUCUUAUUGAAAGUUUGUAACUUUCGGUGCACGUUUCCCCUGCUUGUACUGUAUCUUUCAUCUUUUGAUUAUUAAUUCUUCAUUUUUAACUACUCGAAGUUUUCACAAUUGGGGACUGUAAUGCUGAUUGUGUUUGGUGUAUGGCUAGUUGUGGUAUCCAUUAUCGAAAACGCUGGCGGAGAAAGCUGCGUGGGAAUUUGCCAAGGAGAAGGGGCUGGAUGUGGUUGUGGUGAAUCCGGGCACGGUGAUGGGCCCUGUUAUCUCGCCCAGGCUCAAUGCUAGCAUGUUGAUGCUCCUUCGCAUUCUUGAGGGUACUUUUCUCUGCAAAUUUUGUGUUAGAAAAUCCUCUAUGACUGCACCUUGAAGUAGAUUGUUGACCUUGUUUAUCCUCUUGGACUGCCCUCUUAAGUUGCUUGAAUCUUCCACUAGCACUUAAUGUUCUCUUGCCUGAUAGUAUGCCAUGUAAUGUUGCGAAAUUCGCACUCAAAUCAUAAAUUUAGACGAAAUUUGAUCUUUGAUUGACAGUUUGUAUGAUGACAUAUCAUCUCAAUGGCAAGAGAACAUUUCCCAUUUAUUAUGUAUGAUGCUGUGGUUGGUUGAUGAACUAAAAAUGAGGUAAAAAUGAGGUUUUUUUUUUUUUUCUCUUAAGACAUUUUUGCUAAAGAAAGAUUGAGUUUGGUACCUCAACACUUGGAAGAUUUCUUCUUUCAUAACAGUCGAGAUUGCUAAUUGUUUUGCCAGUUUGUCCGUAAGCUUGAGAAGGUAGAUUGUGUGAGCAUGCAUAUGUGUAAUCAUAAAGGAACUCUUCUACACCUCUUUUUUUAGCACAUGUUUCUUUAAGUUGCAAGGAUUUUUGAUAAAGUUUUUUUUGGAGAGGACUGAGAAAGAGGAUGAGGCCCUAGAAAGUAGAAACAACGUAUAUAUAGUUUUGAGUUGUUCGCUCUUUGCUGCAGGCUGCACUGAAACAUAUGAGGACUUCUUUAUGGGAUCUGUGCAUUUUAAAGAUGUUGCUCUCGCACACAUUUUAGUGUAUGAGAACAAAUCAGCGACCGGUAGGCACUUGUGUUUGGAAGCUAUAUCACGUUAUGGUGACUUUGUGGCAAAGGUUGCUGAACUUUACCCUGAGUACAAGGUUCACAGGUAAGUUUUGGUCCACAAAAUGCAUUUGCAAAUGAAAUUUUGUGCAUAUCUUAUGUUUUAGAUGUUUGGUUUCCUGAUAAGUGAAUGUUUCGUCCCUUGUCAGAAGCACAACUUAAAAAUAUACUAUGUCUUGAUUUUUUAAACCGAGGUUUCUUAGAUGCACUGAACUCUUCUACAGCUGGAGGACCAUGGUUUUUUCUCUCUUUUUUUCCUUCCAUCACGUGUUUUAGAUAUUUGAGACCAAAUUAGCGAAUUGAAAUCUGAUUUUUCCUAUAAAAUAGUUUUCAUGCGGGUAUAGAUUUGCAUACAUCAUUUUUCUUUGGUCUGUUUAGAAUCACUCCCAAAUGUUGCUUUCCAAGUUUAUCAACCGUUAGGUGCAUUCUCGCUUGCCUUGGAAGAAUUUUGUAAAUUUUUAGGUGGUGUGAGUGCCUGAUUUUGAAAAUGAUCGAGCUAAUAUGUUUGCCUUUGUGUAGUUUGCCAAAGGACACCCAACUGGGCUUGCUGAGGGAAAAGAACGCAGCGAAGAAGCUAAUGAACUUGGGUUUAGAAUUCAUUCCCAUGGAUCAAAUUAUCAAGGACGGUGUGGAGAGCCUAAAGAGCAAGGGAUUUAUUUCAUAAAUAAAACUGCAGGGAUAUGAAACUUAUCAGGGAUUGCAAGGGAUUUAUUUCAUAAAUAAAACUGCAGGGAUAUGAAACUUAUCAGGGAUCUAGGUAUGUCUUGUACAGUUGUACUAGUUGCGAGGACAUGUAACCUGAAUGGUUGUUUCAACUCCCUUGAAUAUUCCCUUUUCUGUGAAGAAAAUACUAUUAAUGAUUGUACGAUAAAUUUACCUUAAAGUUCACACUUAAAUCGGGUUAGCUGUUAGAAUAUCAGUGCAUUGUUGGACUGGAACGCUACGUGGUGGCUAACCAGUUCCACGUAAGUCCUCCCAGUCUACGUCAAAUUCUUUGUAUAACGAGGGAAUUUCUCUUGAUUUUCACCACACCGAAAGUUAAAAGGACUAAUAGCAAAUAAUUCCUAACAUGGCUAGUACUGUGGAAGCAAAAGCAGCAGCAACAGCUCCUCCAUCUUCGGUUGGUGGGGACGUUAGCAAAGUAGAUUCCAAUGUUCUUGAGAAAAUCCUCCCAGAGUAAAUGUACGGUCGGGCAGUUGAGGUGCGUAGAGAAGAGUACCAUAGGCAGAGAUUUGAGUCCAGUUACUGAUAUGUUGUGGCGGAAUUUCUACGUGAAGGAGUUCGGUGCUUCGAGGUUGAAGAGUCGGCAUCAAAUGGAAGCUUCUCGGAAACAAUGCCGGCAAGUUUUUGUUGGCACAGGGGCAGAGGUUCCGUCAUUGUCAAGAACCAACAAAAGUAGCAGCAGCAGCAACACCCUUGGGGUUGGCAGCGACAAUGUUUCUGUCCGAAAAAAGGAAAGCUUGAUCAUGAAGAAAGCAAAGAGUUACUGUUCCAAGAAAGAUUCGACAACAUUCAAGAGAAGCGCCAUCGUUUCUGAAGAUUACGCUCCAAAAUUUUGACUACUACAAACUAGGCAACAUCAGAGCUUGCUUGAUAGCCUAGGCCUUUUAGUUUUGAUCAAAUCUACUCCCUCUCCUGACAAUGUUCUAUAUAAAUUCGAACAAUACUUGGCUACUUAAAAUGCAUAAAAUGUUCUUUUAGUCUUUGACACAACUGACAAAUGGUGUUAUUAAAAGAUUUAAUAUCUUCAAACAUUUACUUUAAAGAAAUUAUACCCUUAUGAAUCUUUGGUUGCCGAGAAUACAUGGGAAAGUUACUGUCUUUUUGUUUGUGUGUUGUCUAGGAAUAGUAUUGUCGUGGGUUUCAGAAUGUGCAGAAGAUUGGUCUAUUAGUAAGGUUGUGAUAGAGAUAGUUGUUUACAUAAUUUUGUUACUUUCAGGGUUCGAAUGUAUCGAAAAUGGUCUAAAUUUCGUUACUUAAAGUAAGUAUUGGGGUUUGCUCAGUAUAGUGAACUCUACCAGAAGGUUACAUUGUUGUUGUACAUUGAUUUUCAACCGGAAAAGCACUUGGAAGUGUUUCCUGGACUAGCUUUUAAGUCUAUCAACUAGGGUUUUUCCAGGUACUUUUGUAUAGAACUUAACACUAAUGCGUAUUGUCAACUCCGCAUUCAGGCACAUCACCAUAGUAUCAAGGAUAAAAAUGUAAUGACACCUACAAGAGAGAAUCCUUAGAGGAUAAGGAAUCAUAGUUUGUUUUGGUUGUUUUUCCUUUUCUGUUAGCUGUAACAGUUUGUGUAUAAAUACCCAAGUGUAAACAUUAUUCAGUUAUGCAAUGGAAAAUAUUUUUCCUAAUAUGGUAUCAACCGCCAAUAGUCCUAUGACAACUCUCCCUCUUCGAUCCUCCUUUCCCGCUUCUUUCUGCACCGCUUGACUUUCCUCUUCUUCUCCGAUCAAUCGAUCGAUUUCUUUAUCUUGAUCGUGAAUUCUUCUUCAACCUUCAGCUAUGGCGGACUCUGCAUCUCCUUCCUCAGGAUCAGAUCCUCCUGCUCAUCCGCUUCCUACAGAAAUCCCUAACCCUAAUUCUGCGAUUUCCUCUUCCAUCACCAUCCAAAAUAUUGGAUCUAUGGUUCCAAUCAAGCUUACAACUACAAAUUACCUGACUUGGAGUGCUUGAUUUGCAUCGAUUGUCAUGCCCCGAUCCCGACGUACAUCUAGGAUUGACACGUGACGUUAUCAAAUAACCAUAUAUCUAACAUACCCGUCUAUGAGAUAUGAACCAAGCACAUGCCAUGCCUCGAAUUGCGUAGUAAAUUUUGUACACUUUAUGGAUGCAUCUAACAUUCUCGUUAGACUGCCUAUGUACCCUACACAGGAAUCAAGCCAUUCGUAGUUCAUCUUCGCUACAACUCGACAUAUAACACAGUCAGUUCAAGCCAAAAGGCAUAACAUUCCUCAAUCAAACUUUUGGACUUGACAAGCAUGAAAUUAUUCGCUUCAAGCUACAUAACAACCCACAUGACAAUCAAGGUUUCUAUUUCAUCCAUCAUAUAAAUCAUUAUCUUUCAACAUAAAAUCGCAAUUCAUAUCAUGUGAUAUAUCAAAGAAUCAACAAAGCACAAUAGUAUCCUCUAGUCGUAUUGAUCAUUGAUCUAAUCGUAUUAAUAACAAUCAUAUUCAACAUCACUUCACAUUCACCUCAAGUAAUCCAUUCCAUGAGUCAAGGAGACACGAUAUUAACAUUUAAUUACGUUAAUUAGUCAACCAGAUCACAUAUCGGUGCACGAAAUUAAAUGAAAGAAUUCUACAUAAUUCCCUGCCUGGAUUCUAAGUAAUAACUUGAUAAUUCUAAUUUAUAUUCAUAAGGUCUAUUGUGGGUAAUUCUCAUGCAUUCAAAUCUAAUGUUCUAGACUAACCUUAUGGCAAUGAGCAAGAGCAAGGAAUCCGAACUACUCAACAAAAUCCAACAGUCUUGGGUUCUGGACCACUCAACGGAACUAAAAUACCAAGUGUGGAGCCAAAAAUAUUCACUAGGCGACACGUGGACUUUUGGACAAAAGAGGACAAAAAUACCCUCGAGGCAUACCGGGUUUCCUACACGCGAGCAGUAGAGAAUCAUUUUUUCAACCAAGUCAAAAGUGCCCAAAAUAGGUAUCAACUUAAAACCUAAUUUAUUCAUAUAUUUCCCAUUUCAUUAUUUAGCUAAUCAAUUAGCUAAAUAAUAUACUUAUUCCUUUCAUAUUUCAUAAAAUCAUAAUAAAUUGACUAAUUAAGGGAUUAAUUACCUAAUCAAUCCCUUAAUUGUCAAUUUGAAACAUCCACUCAAACCUAAAAACACAAGAGGGCCGGCUAUCCCAUUGAAAAACCUAAUCCAUUACCUUUUUUCUACCUUUUCCCACCAUUUUCUUCCUUUUUAUUAGCCAAUUAUACAAAAAACCACCAAAACAUUCAUUUUAUGUUUAAUAGCCAAAUAAAUUGGCUAAUUAAACCUAAAAACCCUAGCCACCUCCUAUCCCUAUAAAUAUACUCCCAUUCUCACCAAAAAGCUAAUUCCAACACUUUGGUAAAAAUCCCAAAAUUCUCUAAACACUCUUUCUCUCUAAAUUCUAACUUUGGCAUCGGAGGUUCUUCGGCCAAAGCCCCCUCCAUUCAUCGUGGGCGCGUGAGGCUCUUGGCCUUAACCUAAGGUGUUAAUUGUUUUGUAGGUGCAAAAUCGUCCAAGAUCAAGGAGGAAGAAAUUUGCAUCCACAAAUUGGUGCUUUCAUUGAGAGUUGAAAUCCAUACUCGUAGAAGACUCUCGCACAAAAAAGGUUUUUUCUUUAUUUUCUAGUCCAUUUGAAUAUUUUUCAUACGUUCUUAUUAUUAGAAUUUUUUACUUGCAAAGGUUCUUUGAUAAAACGUAUAAGCAAAAUAUAAUGGCUAGAAAUUUAGAAAAUUCCACAAGUGAAAAUUCUAAUGUUCAAGAAAUGGGAUUGCGGAGAUCCGUGAGGCUAAAUGCGACAAUAAGGGGAGCGGCAUCAUCAUCACGAGCUUCAACCAUGGGAACCACCGUGGUGGCUACUUCGGUAGCUACCCGCGGCGAGGUCCAUGGUGCCUUCACCACGGCCACCAUGGGAACCACCGCGGUGGCUACUUCGGUAGCCACUCGUGGCGAGGUCCAUGGAGCCUUCACCACGACCCGGAGAUCCGUAAGGCAAAAUGCGACAAUAAGGGGAGCGGCAUCAUCACCACGAGCUUCCACCAUGGGAACCCACCGUGGUGGCUACCUCGGUAGCCACCCACGGCGAGGUCCAUGAUGCCUUCACCACACGGCCACCAUGGGAACCACCACGAUGGCUACUUCGGUAGCCACUCGUGGCGAGGUCCAUGGAGCCUUCACCACGGCCCGAGCCGUGCCAUCCAAGGCUCACGGUACCAAGACCACGAUCCAAGCCGUGCCAUCCAAGUUCACGUGGACCCAAGCCCAAGCCUCGCAUUCACAUGCACCGCGUAUUGAGCAGCCUACUCCCGUGAUCCAGCCUGCUCCCGUCGAGCAACCCACUCCCGUGGCCCAGCCUGCUCCUGCCAAGCAGCCCACUCCCGUGGCCCAGCCUACUCCUGCCAAGCAGCCUACUUCCGUGGCCCAGCCUGCUCCCGCCAAGCAACCUGCUCCUGCCAAGCAGCCUGCUUCCGUGGCCUAGCCUGCUCCCGCCAAGCAACCUGCUCCUGCCAAGCAGCCUGCUCUCGUGACCCAGCCUGCUCCCAACGAGCAGCCCACUCUCAAGGCCCACACUGCUCCCGUGGCUUUCCAAGCAGCCCAAGUCGGCCCAAAACUAUCUCAACCAUCUGGACCUACCAUCGAGCCGGGGGCAUUCUCACCACAUUUUUUCACGGAUUUGACAUUUCCCAACUCAAAUCUCGCGCCCGGAGUCUACCACCAUUCCACUGCUCAAGGAGGCGCAUUCAUUCCAAGCUCUUCCAAUCCAAAUGGCGAACAACACUUGUCUCGACAAGUCAUAGAGUUGACGAGCGCCCUUGCACAACAGACAACUUUGGUGAAUCAACUUUUGCAACGCAUCGGGAUCCAACAUGCCCCGGACGAGGUAUCCCGAAGUAGGACAAGGGCAGACGAACCUUUCCAGCAGCAUCCCAGCAAGCAGCCAUUCGACCAGCCACGAGUUGAACGUUCAGGCAGUGUACAUUCCCGAUUGGGCCCCCGAGAUAGCGUAUACUCCCGUUUUAGCGCGCGGAUGAGCGUGUACUCUCGACUAAGCCAACGGAUGAGCAUACAUUCACGGUUGGGGUCACACUCCGAUAGUCAACAUGAGCAACCUUCCAGACAAAGUGUUCAUUCGCGGCUAAGCCCACAAGGAGCAUCAUCCACCUCACAUCAGAGUAGGCAGCACGACGGACGGAGAGAAGCAGUCACUCAAUCCAGCUCAAGUUCAACCAGCAGCCUGCGAAGAACUCGCUCGCCUGCUAGGAAUGCACCAUAUGCACUGCAUAUGCGGCAUAAACGAGCCAAACACAUGGAAGAGCAGCCUAGACCAGCAAGUCAUGGCUGGGGGCAGCCGAGAGCUGCACUACCCCAACAAAGGCAAAUUCAGGAAGAAGUAGAGAGACUCUUGACCAAGCGAUUGCAUGAUUUCCAACGCAAUGAGGUCACCGACGAGGCACUACGAUGGAACAUGACCAACAUAAGCAGGUCACCCUUCACGGACGAGAUCGAGCAGGCAGAGCCUCCACGAGAGUUCAGCAUGCCAUAUUUCACAUCUUUCAAAGGGGAUGAAGACCCGGAGAGACACUUAAAGCGCUACCGAAGUGCAAUGAUCCUUUAUCGAAACAACGAUGAGCUCAUGUGCAAGAUAUUCGCCACCACUCUACAAGGCGAGGCGCAAGAUUAGUUCUACACCUUGCCGCCACAAUCCAUCCGGGAUUUCUACGAACUUUCUUUGGUUUUCACCAAAGAAUAUUCAUCCUAUCGCUCGAUCAAAAAGAAGUCUGAUCAUUUGUUCAACGUCAAGAAGAACCCAAAGGAGUCGCUUCGCGACUAUGUGAGGAGGUUCAAAGUAGAGAAGGCAAAAAUAGUCGGAUGCAACGACUCGAUAGCUAGAGCAGCCUUCCAAAAAGGACUUCCAGCAGACCACCCGCUAUUCGGAAAAUUGAUCAUGAAAGAAGAUCUAACUCUGGCAGACUCUUUUGCUUUGGCAGAGAAGUAUGCACUUUGGGAUGAGGCUCGCCAAUGCACAUUCAAGGACUUGAAGAAGUACCCGACAUCACCUCCCUAGAAGCAGUGGAUGACUUAUUCACAUGUUUGACGUUAUCUAAAGUAGCAAUAAGCUCUACCAUCAUGCGAGAAGAGAUGGGGGCCCGACUACCUGUAUUCCACAGUUACCUGUAUUCUACAGUUCAAAAGCUCUCCUCGAUGUUAUUAAAAAUUCAAAAGUUAACUUUGGCGAUAGUUGUUGCAAUAAGCUCUACCAUCAUGCGAGAAGAGAUGGGGGCCCGACUACCUGUAUUCCACAGUUACCUGUAUUCUACAGUUCAAAAGCUCUCCUCAAUGUUAUUAAAAAUUCAAAAGUUAACUUUGGCGAUAGUUGUUGCAACCUAGAAGCACAAAUUUUACUUUCAAACGCAUGCAAUCAUCCUAAUGACGUACUAUUCUGCCCAAUCCAGACGCGCGACGAUAAAGGCGUAGACCCUGGCGGAUGUAAAGUUUUCUGAUGAACGCAACACUGGAAAGACACACUUGAAAGCAAGUUUUAUCCUCGUCACCCUGAAAGAUUCUACAUAGGAGCAACAUGUACCGGCAGUUGAGUACCAUUUCUUGCUGCGCAUCAUACGGCCCUAGCCGACCCUUGCUCAAUGAUUCAACUCUAGAGUGGCCCAAUACCGGCAGUUGAGCAUCUCCUGUUGCGUAUGACAUGGCCCCAUCUCCACAGCUCCCUACUGCACCUUCACGCCGAGCCUAGGUGACGCAACAAAGCGGCCCAACGAUGCCUCAGAAGUAGCCGAGCACACUCUAGCUGCGCCUACUCCACCCGAUGGAGACUUCUGCCAUUUACAUGUCGACGGCGCAGAAAAACCUUCGUCACUGCCGGCAGAGAAGGCUCCAAAAAGAUGGAUCCCAUCUGGGAAGGUCCGUACAAGAUCAGCAGAGUAGGGGGCAAGAGUAAUUACACCCUCACCACCAUGAAGCGGCAAAAAUAUUGAAAAAAAAAUGGAUGGCCUACAAUCUGAAGAAGUACCAUGUGUGACCUCCCGCUACAUCAAAACCCGAAGAUUCAAUAAGCUCGACGGGCACCACCUCACAAGCUGAGGACUAUCCAGUUGUUAUGCAGUUCCUACCUUACAGCUAAAGUUCUCGUUCGUUUUACUCGUUUUUCAAUGAGGAAUUUAGAAGUAAUCACAACUUGGCUUGGUUGCAUGCUUACAACAACUAAUCACUCUUGCACUUCAAAAGAAAACUGCACCCUUCUUAGGGACUCAUCGCAGGAAUUGCGCCCCCCGAGUGACCAACCAUGCUCUCCAGUGCGAGAGGGUAAACCAAUUCUCCGACACCCAUAUGGGUCAACUCUCCAAGACGGGAGGAUAAACUUUACACUCCGAAUAUCCAGACAUGGAUGAGCCUGGCUGCCCUAGUAUAACUAGAUGCACGAUGGCUUGCGCCGGGAUUCCUAGAAGUAGCCGCAAUGGUCUUUUUCAAGGUUUAGCUAACUGAAGGAUUUUGGGUCUCUUGGCCUAAUCCGUGGGGAACCGGGCCCUAGAGACGGAGAGGGCACAUUACGCAGUAUAUCCGAUGGAUGGCUGCCCUGGAAUCCUAAAGCUGCUACCGAGUGCACUAAGGUAGCCUACGGAUUCCGGAAGACUGCCUACGGCUUGCCCUUCGAGCAGUGAAGCCGCACUAGACUUAUACAACCGCACAUUCUUGUGAAAGGUUAGACAAGCUAGCGCGCAUAUACGAAGUUUUAUCCACUGCCGACAUGCUACGUAGUCGAUAAGCUUCACCUCUGCCAAGCGCGGAACAACCUACACUAAGUCCUAAAGUGUUGUGAUACUUGCUACGCAACCUACGGAAUUGAAGAAAGUCAAAGUUAACAGCCUAGUGGUUACGCGGACUUGUCUGCUUCUGUAAGUAAGGCAUCCGGCUGCCAACCCUAUGGCUAACAACUUUGCAAAGUUCUACACCAACACCUACGGCUGCAUAGGCUACGCGAGUUUGUCUGCUUAUAAAAAAGUAGCAUGCCUGCCACUGGUCUAUCAAGUCUAAAGGUUAGGGCAUGAACAAAAAAAGUGAAGAUGAAGAAAAACGAAGGAAAACAUAUUUAUAAACAACUAGCAAAGGUUGAAGGAGUUCAAGCAAAACAAAAGCUACAAGGAAAAACAAAGAAAAUCCUAAAGGCUACCUAAAAUACUACACUACAGCAGCUUGGACAUUCCACGACUACUCGGUCGCCACACCUUCAACAGCCGUAACGCUCUUAGCAGCGGCAUCAUUCGGCGCUUCACCCCCGGCCGCCCCAGUCUGGGCACUAACUUCUCCAACUACUUCACCAAUGGAAGCCUUAAAAGUAAAAGCAAGCAAGUCUUCCGGAGAAAUAGAGAAGCUCAUCCACUCUCUUCUUAGCAUAAGUAGCGAAACGAAGCUCAGAAAUUGCAAGCUUAAGAUCUUGAAUCUGAGGCGAAUAAAUCUCAGCAGCAAAGGGAGCAGGCUUUGGCGCCACUUUAGCAGCAGAGUCCACCUUACCACUCUUCAUAAUAGCAAGUCUCUACAAAGGUGAACCGGACUUGGCUCCCAAAGAACGUCCUACAGACUUCGGCACUGGGGGCAUGAUAAAACCUUUACGCUGAGUAAUCUUAUCCACAAUUGUACUAGCCAUUCUCAACAUGGAAGACGCCACAUGCUCAGAUUUAGCAGCCUUACAUUUCUUCCCAUUGGAAAAUCAUGUCAAUCACAUACCUCUCGGUAGCAAGCGGACCCUCAUGAGCAGCAGAAGAAGUCUUCAGUUUUUUCUUAACUGGCAUCUCAUGAGCAGGCGGGGAAGAUCUCUUCUUUCCAUCUUCAUUCAUAGUAAGCUCCACGACAGCGAUCAGACGAGCCAAUGCAUCCGCCUUGAUCAUCUUUACCUCCUCUUUCUGGAGCAGCCCACAUUUCUUUCGGCAAAGAGGACUAAGCAGCCAACGACAUUCAUGGUACUCAGCAGGGGAGCUCAACCUAGCAUUCCAACAGGCAGGAGGCCUGCAUGCCCAACAUUCCAGCAGCCCAUGAGACCCGCAAUCUCCUUAUUUCUCUCAAUCACCAGCCUGGCCCGAGUCAGGUCCAAGAGCCCAAAGGACAUGAGCCAUGCGGCUCGCCUAGCACUGCGCCCCAGCGCCACAAUCCGCGACCCUAGUUGCAUAAGCUGCCUUUUGGCUCAAGCCAAGCCAAGCUGCCCAAGCAGUGGUCCCUGCCACAACAUCUCCUCGGCCCAUGCCGAGCCAACUCCUGGCCCCUGCCAGCCGAUGUGCCGCACCACCCCGACGGCUGCCCCGCAAUAGCACUAUCCAAGAAUAAGGCAAGAAAAAUUAAAUUUUUCUUACAUCGGUGCGGCACGAAGAAGACGAAGAAAGCAACGAAAGACGGUCCUUUGCACGGGCAAGAUGUAGAAGAUUGCUAGAGGAGGGGGAACAAAUAUCCUCUAAGCUAUCUCUCUCUUGUAGGGUAGAAUAAAUCGCUCUCCAAAGUUGAUUUAAUAACCCACUUAAGGUGGACUUAAAUAGGCUUUGAGAGAAAUUUAUUUCCCUUUCCUAGAAGGAUUUAAUUUCCUAUUAAAGAGAGAAUCAACAUCAAAAUAGGAAGCAGUCUUAAGUUUCCUAAAGCAAGAAGAUCUCUACACCUGCUGCCCUUUUUUGCGAGCAGCCCAACAGGUGUGGGGGCAUUUGUGGAGCCAAAAAUAUUCACUAGGCGACACAUGGACUUUUGGACAAAAGAGGACAAAAAUACCCUCGAGGCAUACCGGGUUUCCUACACGCGAGCAGUAGAGAAUCAUUUUUUCAACCAAGUCAAAAGUGCCCAAAAUAGGUAUCAACUUAAAACCUAAUUUAUUCAUAUAUUUCCCAUUUCAUUAUUUAGCUAAUCAAUUAGCUAAAUAAUAUACUUAUUCCUUUCAUAUUUCAUAAAAUCAUAAUAAAUUGACUAAUUAAGGGAUUAAUUACCUAAUCAAUCCCUUAAUUGUCAAUUUGAAACAUCCACUCAAACCUAAAAACACAAGAGGGCCGGCUAUCCCAUUGAAAAACCUAAUCCAUUACCUUUUUUCUACCUUUUCCCACCAUUUCUUCCUUUUUAUUAGCCAAUUAUACAAAAAACCACCAAAACAUUCAUUUUAUGUUUAAUAGCCAAAUAAAUUGGCUAAUUAAACCUAAAAACCCUAGCCACCUCCUAUCCCUAUAAAUAUACUCCCAUUCUCACCAAAAAGCUAAUUCCAACACUUUGGUAAAAAUCCCAAAAUUCUCUAAACACUCUUUCUCUCUAAAUUCUAACUUUGGCAUCGGAGGUUCUUCGGCCAAAGCCUCCCCCAUUCAUCGUGGGCGCGUGAGGCUCUUGGCCUUAACCUAAGGUGUUAAUUGUUUUGUAGGUGCAAAAUCGUCCAAGAUCAAGGAGGAAGAAAUUUGCAUCCACACCAAGUUGUUUCUCGUACUUUACACAGACUUGUCAUAUCCAGUGCCUACAUCAAGGGAAUGAUGCACUAGCAAUUCAGAACUCGGUUAAGAUGCGAAGCUCGGGUGAGUGACAAUAAUACAAGUAUGUAAUAUUCAAUAAAAACAUACCAUCGAUCAUAAUCUAUAAACAUUGAGUAUAGAGUCAUGCUUUAUGAAAUCAUAAUCAAGUCGCUGAAAACUCCGAAUGAGUCACCCAGACAUCCAACAGCCUUUCCCAUUCAAACCACCAAGAUUCCCAAAAACCAUCGUUCAUAUAUACAUUAAAACUAGGGCUAGAGGGAAGCAAUUCGGUCGAAGCCUACAUAAGUAACCAAACAGAAAGUGGCCCCCCCCAAAGCGGAUUAACCAAGCAGAGCCACCCUUGAGAAAGUAACCUAGUAGGCAGUGACCCCCCCCAACGCAGAUUAACCAAGCAGGGUCACGCUUACAUCUGUUAGGAAGUGAUCACCCAAUGCGGAUUAACCAAGCAUGAUCACUCCUAAGCAUACAUGGCCAUAAGGAUCACCCAAUAUGGAUUAACCAAGCGCGGUCCGCAUAUGUAGCAUGGUCCCCCAAUGCAGAUUAACCAAGCAGGGUCAAGAUAACCAAGUAGGUAGUGACUCCCCAAUGUGGAUUAACCAAGCAGAGUCAUACCUAUAGAACUGUUAGGCAGUGAUCACCCAAUGCGGAUUAACCAAGCAUGAUCACCCUUAAGUGUGUAUGGCCAUACCUAGGAUAUAAGGAUCGCCCAAUGUGGAUUAACCAAGCGCGAUCCACAAAUAGUAUGGUCCCCUAACGCGGAUUAACCAAGCAGGACCAUCCAUGUACCAUUGCUACGUGGUGCAGACUUAGUGUCACCUAACCCCAUGACACUAGGGUAACGGUCCUUUACAAUCUCUCAUAUUUAUCAAACCAUCAAAUAUAUAUUUCAAAACACAAUCCAGCAACAGUUCAAAUACCCAAGUCACAUAAUGUUUCAUAAGUAGAUCAAUGGCAAACUUUAUAACAACAAUUAUUUAGCAUAAGACUUAUUUUAAGAAUCCAUGGUGUAACCGCAAAGUAUAUUAGCACAGAAGAUUUCAGAGUAAUAACCAUAUCACAUAGAUUAAAAUCACUCACAUGAGGUCCGCACUAACGCACUCUAGCAUGGGAUUCAAGGCGUCAAGCUCUAUCACUGCCUAAAACAAAGCACAAGUCCACAUUUAGAUUUCUCUCAAUAAAUUCACAUACCCAAAACUCUCAUAAGUCUCCCACAACGACGUUUAAUGAGAAUCAGACCGUCGAUCAAAGGUAUAGUCCAUGAUCUUACAUCACUUGCUCCGUAAGAUCCAACCACUAGAUUUUCACUAGUAAGUCCCUACAGUCCUUAAACAAUAUCUACAAUAGCAUUCUAAAAUUUGGUGUCAAUUCAAUGGUAAGAUCGUCAAUUGCUAGAGUAUUCAAGUGGCGGACCUUAUCAAAAAUAUACUCAACCAACAGCAUUCAUAAAUCGAAUGUCACACAUCGGAAAAUUUGACUUUUUCCAAAAAUUCUCAAAUUUUACAAGAAUGAAGAUAUCAACAAGUAGAUGUGAGUGAAGCACAAUUGAGGGACAACAAGCAACUUUUUCGUCUCAAACUUGAUUUUGGAAAAGUGGUAUACGAGGCUAGAGACUGCAGUGUACAAAUAAUGAAAGUCUUCCGACCACACGAUGAUCUAGAAUAUUUAGAGAUUGAUUGGAAUUACAGUGAUGUGUAUUUUGGCUCGACCUUCCCGAAUUGGCUGAUAUCUUUAAACAAGUUGCGAUUCCUUAUUCUGUCAGGGAAUAAGGGUUGUCAAGUUUUGCCUCACCUUGGGAAAUUGCCCUUCCUUGAAGAACUCUACGUAGGGAGGAUAUUGGGUGUAAAAAAGGUUGGUGGCGAGUUUUUGGGAGUAGGAGAUGAUGAUCAAACAACUUCUUCAUUCAAAUCAUCCUCAUCAAUAUUAUUCCCAAAAUUGAAGCGACUCCGAUUUCACAGACUGACGUCUUGCAAGGACUGAGAAGGCGUGAAAGGGUGGAACGUGGAUUGUGAAAUUACAAUCAUGCCAUGUCUUUCUUCUUUAUAUAUAAUUCAGUGCUUUGACCUAGAAACACUGCUAGACUUCUUAUGGAAAACACCAUUGCAGAAUCUUAUCAUUUCUUCGUGUUCGCAACUUGCCAGACGUUGCAAAAAAGGACAGUGGCCCAAGAUUUCUGAAAUCCCAAACGUCGAGAUUGAUAAUUUCUAGUAUUCUAAUGUAGAAAUUGUAGUGCUUUGAAUUUUUUUUACUUCGUUUGGAUAAUGUACAAAUGCAAAUAAUUUAAGGUGUAAAGUGCAAAGUGCAAAAAAAAAAAAAAAAAAAAAAAGAAGAAGAAGAUUUUGGGCUUGAGUUGAGUAUCAUGGCUGUUUUUUUGUUUUGGGCCUUUCUAUAAGAAAAAUAUGCACGCGGCCCAAUUCAUCUUGAUCAUCAACAACAAUCGGCUGGAAAUAACUGGAGCACUUGACAGCUGAAAGCAGAGGGACACUGCAGGGAGGAUGUCGAAGCACGGUGAGGUUGUAUGCGUUACCGGUGGAAGCGGCUGCAUUGGAUCCUGGCUCGUCCUUCUCCUCCUCCACCGUGAUUACACCGUCCACGCCACCGUCAAGGAUCUCAGUAACUUUCCCCCUGCUUUUCACUUUAUCUACACAACUGCCACAAUGCCAUUCAUUUCAUUCCAAUUCCAUUCGCUUUCAGUCUAAAUUGAAUAAACGCCGUCAUUUUCUGUGUUGCAGAGGACGAGGACGAGACGAAGCAUCUAGAAGCGUUAGUAGAGGGAGCAGAGUCGCGCCUCCGUCUCUUCCAGAUUGACCUCCUCGACUACAACUCCAUACUCGCCGCCGUCAAUGGCUGCUCCGGUGUCUUCCACCUCGCCUCUCCCUGCAUCGUCGAUCAAGUCCACGACCCCGAG
rnacentral:lncRNA from 1 species